rnacentral:tRNA from 1 species
GCCCGAAUGGUGGAACUGGUAGACACGCCGGACUUAAAAUCCUGUGCACUUAUGUGCGUGUCGGUUCGACUCCGACUUCGGGUA